GAUCCUGGCUCAGGAUGAACGCUAGCUACAGGCUUAACACAUGCAAGUCGAGGGGCAGCAUUUUAGUUUGCUUGCAAACUAAAGAUGGCGACCGGCGCACGGGUGAGUAACACGUAUCCAACCUGCCGAUAACUCGGGGAUAGCCUUUCGAAAGAAAGAUUAAUAUCCGAUAGUAUAUUUUCUCCGCAUGGCGAGAAUAUUAAAGAAUUUCGGUUAUCAAUGGGGAUGCGUUCCAUUAGUUUGUUGGCGGGG
rnacentral:rRNA from 1 species